UGGACAAGGUGAUGUAAAGCCUCUGC
rnacentral:piRNA from 1 species